rnacentral:rRNA from 1 species
CUAUUCAUGCAGUCGAGCGGACAGAAGGGAGCUUGCUCCCGGAUGUUAGCGGCGGACGGGUGAGUAACACGUGGGUAACCUGCCUGUAAGACUGGGAUAACUCCGGGAAACCGGAGCUAAUACCGGAUAGUUCCUUGAACCGCAUGGUUCAAGGAUGAAAGACGGUUUCGGCUGUCACUUACAGAUGGACCCGCGGCGCAUUAGCUAGUUGGUGAGGUAACGGCUCACCAAGGCGACGAUGCGUAGCCGACCUGAGAGGGUGAUCGGCCACACUGGGACUGAGACACGGCCCAGACUCCUACGGGAGGCAGCAGUAGGGAAUCUUCCGCAAUGGACGAAAGUCUGACGGAGCAACGCCGCGUGAGUGAUGAAGGUUUUCGGAUCGUAAAGCUCUGUUGUUAGGGAAGAACAAGUGCAAGAGUAACUGCUUGCACCUUGACGGUACCUAACCAGAAAGCCACGGCUAACUACGUGCCAGCAGCCGCGGUAAUACGUAGGUGGCAAGCGUUGUCCGGAAUUAUUGGGCGUAAAGGGCUCGCAGGCGGUUUCUUAAGUCUGAUGUGAAAGCCCCCGGCUCAACCGGGGAGGGUCAUUGGAAACUGGGAAACUUGAGUGCAGAAGAGGAGAGUGGAAUUCCACGUGUAGCGGUGAAAUGCGUAGAGAUGUGGAGGAACACCAGUGGCGAAGGCGACUCUCUGGUCUGUAACUGACGCUGAGGAGCGAAAGCGUGGGGAGCGAACAGGAUUAGAUACUUUGUUUGUAUU